rnacentral:lncRNA from 1 species
CUAUACUACUUUAUUAUAGCAGCUGGAACUAAGACACUUGUUUAUCCUUCAUCUGUAGGAAAAUGCUAAAUCAGAUAAUGGCAACCACUGUGAACUAUAUUAUCUCUAGGGUAUUAUGGGGUCUCCAUGGCAGAUCAGUGUGGAAAUGGAUGUGGACGCGGUGCUGCUGCCUGAGAUUAGCAGGAAGCAAUUCUUUUCCCAUUUGGAGAGACCCCAGUGAGACCUGAUCAACUAGCAACAUGCGGAAGUCACACCAUUAAGUCUUCCAAUUUGCUAGCAGCAAAUCAAUGAACUCUGAUAGCUGCUGCCCUAAGCUAGCAUCCAGGGAACUGUGGACAAG